rnacentral:rRNA from 1 species
AGAGUUUGAUCAUGGCUCAGAACGAACGCUGGCGGCAUGCCUAACACAUGCAAGUCGCACGUGAAAGUCUUCGGAUGAGUAAAGUGGCGCACGGGUGAGUAAUAUAUAGGAAUGUACCUUUGGGUGGGGAAUAACUACGGGAAACUGUAGCUAAUACCGCAUGUACUCUUGAGUAAAGAUGGCCUCUAUUUAUAAGCUAUCGCCCGAAGAGCAGCCUAUAUCCCAUUAGCUAGUUGGCGGGGUAAUAGCCCACCAAGGCUACGACGGAUAGCCGGUCUGAGAGGAUGAUCGGCCACACUGGGACUGAGACACGGCCCAGACUCCUACGGGAGGCAGCAGUGAGGAAUAUUGCGCAAUGGGCGAAAGCCUGACGCAGCGACGCCGCGUGAGGGAUGAAGGCCUUCGGGUUGUAAACCUCUGUCAGUGGAGAAGAGAACGGACGGUACCCACUGAGGAAGCUUCGGCUAACUACGUGCCAGCAGCCGCGGUAAGACGUAGGG